CUGAUACUGACUUGCAAAGCUGACCGCCACUCAUACUAGAAAAAGCUUUCGAUUUGCAACAAUAAAACGCUGACAGCAGACAACAAUACUCAGCAUCAGUAAUGCUCAGGGCCAAGUGGAGCUCUCUUGAGAUCUGUGCUGUGCUGAGUUACAUUCUUGGUCUCUAGGUCAUACAGUGUACCUCAGACAAUGGAUGUACAAGCAGUUUUAAUAAUACCAAAUAUGUGCCAGGGAAUUACGCAGUGGUUUGUGCUGCUUGGGACUCAGUGUGUACAAUUUCUACAUUAUGUAAAGGUCCAGUGAAUAAACACAAUUCAUCAUGCAUUCUCAGUGUAAACUUAACAGAUAUACUACAAAAAGAAGCCAUGAUUUACAAGAAAUGCAAAGCUCCAACCUCUGAAGAUAAGAUUAAUGAUUACCUGAAAAAUAUGCAACAAACUUUCAAUGGGACAAAGGAACAGAUUGAAACCGAAGAACUUAAAGCACUUGUAAAGAAAAUACAGAUAAACGACAUCCAGGAAACUAACUUUGUCUUGU